rnacentral:rRNA from 1 species
GAUGAACGCUGGCGGCGUGCCUAAUACAUGCAAGUCGAGCGAAUGGAUUGAGAGCUUGCUCUUAUGAAGUUAGCGGCGGACGGGUGAGUAACACGUGGGUAACCUGCCCAUAAGACUGGGAUAACUCCGGGAAACCGGGGCUAAUACCGGAUAACAUUUUGAACCGCAUGGUUCGAAAUUGAAAGGCGGCAUCGGCUGGCCCUUAUGGAUGGACCCGCCUCGCAUUAGCUAGUUGGUGAGGUAACGGCUCACCAAGGCAACGAUGCGUAGCCGACCUGAGAGGGGGAUCGGCCACACUGGGACUGAGACACGGCCCAGACUCCUACGGGAGGGAGCAGUAGGGAAUCUUCCGCAAUGGACGAAAGUCUGACGGAGCAACGCCGCGUGAGUGAUGAAGGCUUUCGGGUCGUAAAACUCUGUUGUUAGGGAAGAACAAGUGCUAGUUGAAUAAGCUGGCACCUUGACGGUACCUAACCAGAAAGCCACGGCUAACUACGUGCCAGCAGCCGCUGUAA